AUGGCAGUAGAUUAGUGGUAGAGCUCCCGCUUCGUGCGCGGGAAGACCUGGGUUCGAUUCCCUGGUGCUUUU
rfam:Toxocara canis scaffold952, whole genome shotgun sequence.